rnacentral:rRNA from 1 species
GUAGGGGGUGUAACGUACCCUCUAGCCAUCAACGCGUACGGGUGUUGGGAGACAUAGCCCGGAGAUGGAUUCUGAGACACGAAUCCAGACCCUACGGGGUGCAGCAGGCGCGAAAACUUGGCAAUGCGAGCAAUCGUGACCAGGGAACUCCAAGUGGCUGGGGUAAUACCCAGUUUUUUCUUGACUCUUCAAAGGUCUUGGAAUAAGGGGUGGGUAAGGACGGUGCCAGCCGCCGCGGUAAUACCGGCGCCUCAAGUGGUAGUCGCUUUUAUUGGGCCUAAAACGUCCGUAGCCGGUCUGGUGCAUUCGUGGGUAAAUCAACCCGCUCAACGGGUUGAAUUCUGCGAGCACGGCCAGACUUGGGACCGGGAGAGGUGUGGGGUACUCUCAGGGUAGGGGUAAAAUCCUGUCAUCCUGAGAGGACCACCUGUUGCGAAGGCGCCACACUAGAACGGAUUCGACGGUCAGGGACGAAACCUAGGGGCACGAACCGGAUUAGAUACCCGGGUAGUCCUAGGUGUAAACGCUGUGGACUUGAUGUUGGGGGUGCUCCGAGCACUCUCAGUGUCGAAGCGAAGGUGAUAAGUCCACUGCCUGGGGAGUACGGUCGCAAGGCUGAAACUUAAAGAAAUUGGCGGGGGAGCACUGCAACCUGAGGAUUGUGCGGUUUAAUUGGACUCAACGCCGGGA